UAAAUAAAAUAAAAAAUCUUCAAGAAGGAACAAGAGUCCCUAAGACAGAUUAAAGUCAUAGUGGGAAGUAUUGACAAACCUGAAGGGCGAUUCCAGGACUAAAAUUAACUAGAAGCAUAUAAGGGAAAUCUCAGCUGUAUUGAAUUAGUAUUCUAAUUUUAAUCUUGACAUGAAACAAAGAUGCCUUGUUUUUUGUAGGCUUUUCACUUGAACACAAUGUCUGGACUUAAAGGUACAUCUAACGCUUUAGGUAUUGGUGUAGCCCAACAAUCUGUACAGUUCUAGGGUGAUAGUUUAGGUAAGUUUUCAUUGGGGACAGUGUAAUCUUUGGGGUACUGUUACAGUUCAGAUGAUGAAUUUAACUGUUCAACUGCUGGAUGAUACAGACAUGAACUAAAACUUAAUUCUGACAGAGCUGGUUAAAGCUUAAAAAAACACAGUUUGGAUACUAAUCAUAUAUUUAGGUUUUGGAUUUUAACCAAACUUAAAACUGUCCUUAAUCUUUUGAUAUUUUAUCUAUAGGGGUGAAUAUGAUUUGAACUCAUUCACAUUUAGAGGGUGUUUGAAAUUGAGAACCAGGCAGAUCCACACUCAGACCCUAAACAGGGCCCUGAAGUAAAGACAUUGGAUACCAAAGAUUACAGAGGGAGGCUGGCUUCAGUUUACAUGAUCAUCUCUGGAAAUGGAACCUUACUUUAUGUUCCUGUUAUAUAGGAGUGACAGUGACAAUUGUGGAUUGAUCAAGUUCUUUUUAAAAGUGCUGUUUUGAAGAUUAUGAUUCUAACUUUGGAGGAACUAUGGUGAGGAGCAGUGACUGGCAGUGGAAGGAAUCACAUGUAAAAAGUCCUUAAAUAAAAAUUUAUUGGCUUUAAAUAA